rnacentral:rRNA from 1 species
CCCUUAGAUGUCCUGGGCCGCACGCGCGCUACACUGACAUGUUCAACAAGUUUCUCCUAGUUCGACAGGACUGGGAAAUCUUUGAACGCAUGUCGUGAUAGGGAUAGAUCAUUGCAAUUAUUGAUCUUGAACGAGGAAUUCCUAGUAAACGCGAGUCAUCAGCUCGCAUUGAUCACGUCCCUGCCCUUUGUACACACCGCCCGUCGCACCUACCGAUUGAAUGUUUCGGUGAAGAUUCCGGAUAGGACUGAUUUGAUUUAUUUCAUUUCUGACCUAAAAGCUAUCUAAACCUCAACAUUUAGAGGAAGGUGAAGUCGUAACA